AACAUGGGUGCAAAGAACGCUUUAUUCUGAUAAGAUGUUUCUAUCUUAUGUUUAAUUCGUCUGUCAACAGCACUGUGUCUUCUGAUAAAAGGAAGACUUGUUGAAUAUUUUAUGGACUUAUUAACUUAUAACAGAGCAACAAUGAAAUGUUUACAGAGUAUAAAAGGUGUCAGGAUUGAAAAACGUUUAUAUGGGACGAAAGCGUUGAAACAUGAAAUUCCAGACACUAAAUUUAUACCGAGGAAAUAUGAUGGUCCAGAAUACAAUACUCUGAAAACCCUGAAGGAUAAGCAUGUAGUGCCUUGCAUACAACAGUAUUACAAGACUCCUCUCCUUAUCAAUGAGGGAAAAAUGCAAUGGCUGUUCGAUCAUGAUGGAAGACGAUACCUGGAUAUGUUUGGAGGAAUCGUGACAGUGAGUGUGGGACAUUGCCAUCCGAAAGUUUGUGAGGCCGCUAGAAAACAAAUGGAAAAGUUGUGGCACACUACCAACAUCUAUAUGCAUCCGAAUCUCUACACGUAUGCAGAAAAACUUACAUCCAAACUACCUGCUGAUCUCAAAGUGGUUUACUUUUUGAACAGUGGCUCAGAAGCAAACGAUUUAGCACUUCUAUUGGCUAGGACGUACACGCAGAACUAUGACAUCAUUUCAUUCAGGAACUGCUAUCACGGCAUGAGCCCCUAUGUGAUGGGUGUCACUGCCCUCUCAACAUGGCGAUUCAAUUUCCCUGUCAUGCACGGAUUUCAUCAUACGAUGAACCCAGACGUUUACAAGGGAUUAUGGGGCGGAAAGUUUUGUCGCGAUUCACCAAGUCAAACAACAAGGGACUGCAACUGCUCUGCAAGCAAAUGUCAGGCGGCAGAUAACUAUUACAAUCAACUUGAAGAGAUCUUCAAAUACUCCCUUCCCAGGGGGAAAGUGGCUGGAUUAAUAGCAGAAUCCAUACAGGGUGUAGGUGGAACAGUUCAAUUCCCAAAAGGAUUUUUGAAGAAAGCUUUCCACUUAGUGCGUACAAAUGGAGGAUUAUGCAUUAGUGAUGAGGUUCAAACAGGAUUUGGUAGAACUGGGGAGCACUUCUGGGGAUUUGAGAUGCAUGAUGUGGUUCCCGACAUUGUCACUCUAGCCAAAGGCAUUGGAAAUGGCUUUCCUUUAUCAGCUGUCAUAACUACGCCGAAAAUUGCCGAAACACUUGGACACGCAUUGCACUUUAAUACUUAUGGAGGAAAUCCUGUAGCGACUGCCGUUGGAAUGUCUGUUCUGGAGGUUAUAGAGGAGGAAAAUCUGCAAGAAAACUGCAGAAACGUCGGCACUUAUCUUAUCAAUGAGCUCGAAAAACUAAGGGAUGAGUUCGAAUGGAUUGGAGAUGUGAGAGGGAAAGGACUGAUGAUAGGCGUCGAGCUGGUUGCAGAUAAGGAAACAAAAGAACCCUUUCCCGCCAAAUAUUUCGUUGAUCUCAUGGAGGAUUGUAAAAAUAUGGGGCUCCUACUUGGAAGGGGCGGUCUAAAUGGCAAUAGAAGAGGAUUGAUGGGCAUCUCUCGUGACUUGGAAAGGAAUCACUUGUCUUCUAACUUCCAGUGAAUGAGCUUUGUCGAAAGUUGGUAUUCUCUUCUUACUUGUUCAUAUUUUAAUACUAGGUAAAUGAUAAUGUUCAGUCUGAUAAGUGAAUACUUAGCAAACCAAAUAUUAAGUAGAUUGAUUAUUAAGCUCUAAUCCAUCAAAAUAUUAUGCAGUCUACAGUAACUGUAUCAUACUUAGUAGGCCUACUGUACGAAGAAUUCGCAGGUACAGCUUUCAUAUGUUAUUUUUAAUGUUUUACUGAAACCUAGAGAGCCAUAAAGAUAUACGUUAUUAUCAAAUGUGUGCUGGGUUUAUGAUAUGUUGUGAUAUAUGAAGGUGAUUAGAAUACAAAGAGGUGGUAAUUACGAGCUUCCAAGUACAUUGAAAGAGCAGUGCCAGCAGAUCGUAUCACAUCAGUGGUGAUCAAUGUCACUAUUUUAUGUAGGUACCUAUCUUCCUAAUGUUAAAAUCCUUAUUUGACUAAAAUUCAAAUGCUUUGACGCUAUUAUAGCUAUUAUAAUUACCUCUUAACACUGUUGUCAAUAUUUGCAGUAGCAGAAGUCUCUGGGGUGAUUCACAGCAUUUAAUUUGGAUUUAUUCGUUUAAUAAAUUAAUAGUUAUUCAUUAAUUAGCAUUUGAAUGAAUGCAAUUUCUUAUUAAUUUAUUUCUGUAGAUAUAUUAUUGAGGCAAAUUAUAAACAUGUACUUACCUAAUUAACUUGAUCAAUAAUUUGAAUCUUUCUAUCUAUUUGCAGAGAAUAAUUAGAUCUGGUUGUAUUGGUCUUUGCAAUGAAGAAGACUCAUUUGGCCUGAUGGAUUGUGAUAGAGAAUAUAAAGGACAAUAUAUUUAAUAGCUUGAAUUAUACCUAUUCAAUAAGGAGAAUAAAUUCAGUUUUUUAGUUCACAAAUAACUAGUAGGAUGAUAAGUCUGAAGACUGCAGUUUUGAUGCGACAGUAUCUUCGAUAUUUUCGCAAUAGUCCACUAUUGUUCAUCUUGGUGAUACUUGUAGUAAUAUCAUCGCUAAUAAAUUUAUUGAUGAUAUUGUUCAAUGAGAGAGAUAACAUGGAAAAAUGUUUUUUGGCGUUUAAGGACAUGAUAACCGUAAGUGCCAUGUUCUCUUGUUUUCUAAAACGAUUUAGUAUAUUUGAAGAAAGCAUUGAAUUGACGCAUAUGAUUGAGGAGGAGCAU
rnacentral:misc_RNA from 1 species